CUAUACUUUCUCUCUUUCUCUCUCUAGAUGCCUUAAUGGACCCAAGAAAAGGACCCAACACCUUAUAGAUUGUUUGACCCUUGAAGGGGUCCUGGGCCAAUAUUAUGCGACCAAGGGCUCUGAGCCAGUAUUAAGUAACCAAGGGUCUCAAGUUGGUAUUACAUGGCCUUAGGAAGGGGUCCUGAACCAACCUUGUUAUAAU
rnacentral:lncRNA from 1 species